rnacentral:lncRNA from 1 species
AUGAGGUCCGCCCCCCACCUCCCUCCACCCCGGGCGCAGGGUGCACCGGGGCUGCCGGAGCUCCAGUUCCCCCUUCCCGCCUCCCCUCCAUCCCCCCACCUCCCCUCCACCCCCGGCGCGGGCGCAUCGGGGCCGCUGGAGCUCCCGUCCCCCCCCCCCCCGCCUCACACCUCCCCCUCCAUCCCUGGCGCGGGGCGCACCGGGGCUGCUGGAUCUCCGGCUGCCCGCCCUCCCGCGACCCCAGCCCCUCCCCCAUCUCCCCUCCACCGGGAGCUCGGGGCGCGCCAGGGUCGCUGGAGCUCCGGACCCCCCCACCUCCUCUCCACGCCUCCACCUCUCCUCCAUCCCCCCACCUCCCCUCCACCCCGGACUCGGGGCGCACAGGGGCCGCUGGAGCUCCGCCCCCCCACCUCCCCUCCACCCCGCGCCUCCCCUCCACCCGGAGCUCGGGGCGCGCCAGGGUCGCUGGAGCUCCGGACCCCCCCACCUCCUCUCCACGCCUCCACCUCUCCUCCAUCCCCCCACCUCCCCUCCACCCCGGACUCGGGCGCACAGGGGCCGCUGGAGCUCCGCCCCCCACCUCCCCUCCACCCCGCGCCUCCCCUCCACCCGGAGCUCGGGGCGCACCGGGCCGCUGGAGCUCCGGCCCCCCCACCUCCCCUCCACCCCGGACUCGGGGCGCACCGGGGCCGCUGGAGCUCCGGCCCCCCACCUCUCCUCCACCUCCCCCUACGUCUCCACCCCGGGCUCGGGGCGCACCGCGGCCGCUGGAGCUCCGGCCCCCGCCCCCGCCGCAGCCCCCGGCCCCGAGCCGACGCCCUUCCGCCCGCCGCGCCCCGCGCCCCCGCCGCGUCCCCGACCGGCCGGCCCGCGCGCAGACAAUGCCGGCCCGGCUCCUCCGCCCCGGGCCCCCGCCCCCGCCCGCGCCCGCCGCAAAGUAAGUUGCCGCCCGCUCCCGCCCAACUCCGUACCUGCCGCGGCGCCGCCCCGGCCGCCUGCGAGCCCCGGGACCCUCGGCGGGGCGGGGGCGCGGGCGGGGGCGCGGGCGAGGGCGCGGGCGGCGCGCAGGGCGGUCGGGGUCCCGGUCCUGGUCCUGGUCCCGGUCCCGGUCCCGGUCCCGGCCCCCGCCCCCCGCCGCCCGGGGCUGCGCGCAAACUUCGGGUCCCCGCGGCCUCCCGCCGGCGCCGCUCGCGUCCCUUCCUGCCUCCUCCCGGCUCCCCACCCCCUCGCGGGGCUUUAAACUCGCCGGCCCCGCCCGCCGCCGCCUCCGCCGCCGCCUCCGCCUCCGCCUCCUCCCCCGGACGCUUUUCCUGCUCCUCCUCCUCCUCCUUCUCCUCCUCCCGCUGCCGCCACAGCCCGGACCGCUCGGCAGCCGCCAGCGCGGGCGGAGCCUCGGCCUGGGCGCAGGGCGGGGGCGCGGGGGGCGGAGGGGGCGCGCGGGGGCGCAGGGCAGGGGGCGGAGGGCGGAGGGCGCAGCGCGGGACGCGGGAGGCGGAGGGGGGGCGCGGGGCCGGAGGGGGCGCAGGGCGGGGGCAGAUGGGGCGGGGGGCGCAGGGCGGGAGGCGGAGGGCGGCAGGGGUGCGGGACGCAGGAGUCGGGGGCGGGGAGCGUGGGGACUCUGGGCGGGGACAGAUGGGGGCGCAGGGCGCGGGAGGCCGAGGGGGU